CUUGAGUGCCAUGCCACCCUGAACACACUCAUCUGAUUUAAUUUUGGAAAUUAAGCAGUGUGGGGCUUACUUAAUAUUUGAAUGGGAGACUACUAGGAAUUUCCAGGAAUGUGAUUGGGU
rnacentral:rRNA from 1 species